rnacentral:rRNA from 1 species
CCUGGCUCAGGAUGAACGCUGGCGGCGUGCUUAACACAUGCAAGUCGAACGAGCCUUCGGGCUAGUGGCGGACGGGUGAGUAACGCGUGGGAAUCUGCCCUCAGGAGGGGGAUAACGGCCGGAAACGGCCGCUAAUACCCCAUAUGCCGAGAGGUGAAAUGAAUUUCGCCUGAGGAUGAGCCCGCGUCUGAUUAGCUAGUUGGUGGGGUAAUGGCCCACCAAGGCGACGAUCAGUAGCUGGUCUGAGAGGAUGAUCAGCCACACUGGGACUGAGACACGGCCCAGACUCCUACGGGAGGCAGCAGUGGGGAAUUUUCCGCAAUGGGCGAAAGCCUGACGGAGCAACGCCGCGUGAGGGAUGAAGGCCUCUGGGCUGUAAACCUCUUUUCUCAAGGAAGAAGACAUGACGGUACUUGAGGAAUAAGCCACGGCUAAUUCCGUGCCAGCAGCCGCGGUAAUACGGGAGUGGCAAGCGUUAUCCGGAAUUAUUGGGCGUAAAGCGUCCGCAGGCGGCCUUGUAAGUCUGUCGUUAAAGCGUGGAGCUUAACUCCAUUUAAGCGAUGGAAACUACAAGGCUUGAGUGUGGUAGGGGCAGAGGGAAUUCCCGGUGUAGCGGUGAAAUGCGUAGAUAUCGGGAAGAACACCAGUGGCGAAGGCGCUCUGCUGGGCCAUAACUGACGCUCAUGGACGAAAGCCAGGGGAGCGAAAGGGAUUAGAUACCCCUGUAGUCCUGGCCGUAAACGAUGAACACUAGGUGUCGGGGGAAUCGACCCCCUCGGUGUCGUAGCUAACGCGUUAAGUGUUCCGCCUGGGGAGUACGCACGCAAGUGUGAAACUCAAAGGAAUUGACGGGGGCCCGCACAAGCGGUGGAGUAUGUGGUUUAAUUCGAUGCAACGCGAAGAACCUUACCAGGGUUUGACAUCCUGCGAAUCCCUUGGAAACGAGGGAGUGCCUUCGGGAGCGCAGAGACAGGUGGUGCAUGGCUGUCGUCAGCUCGUGUCGUGAGAUGUUGGGUUAAGUCCCGCAACGAGCGCAACCCACGUCUUUAGUUGCCAGCAUUCAGUUGGGCACUCUAGAGAGACCGCCGGUGAUAAACCGGAGGAAGGUGUGGAUGACGUCAAGUCAUCAUGCCCCUUACAUCCUGGGCUACACACGUACUACAAUGCUACGGACAAAGGGUUGCAAGCUCGCGAGAGUUAGCUAAUCCCAUAAACCGUGGCUCAGUUCAGAUCGUAGGCUGCAACUCGCCUACGUGAAGGAGGAAUCGCUAGUAAUCGCAGGUCAGCAUACUGCGGUGAAUACGUUCCCGGGCCUUGUACACACCGCCCGUCACACCAUGGAAGUUGGCCAUGCCCGAAGUCGUUACUCCAACCCUUGUGGAGGAGGACGCCGAAGGUGGGGCUGAUGACUGGGGUGAAGUCGUAACAAGGUAGCCGUACCGGAAGGUGCGGCUGGAUCACCUCCU